CUUUAUGUUUGAGCUGCUUGACCUAAAAACCCUAACGCCAGCAUUCUUCUCUCCAGUCCUCUCGAAUGGAGUCUCCGCCACCCUCCGCCGCCAAGGUCGGCCGUGCCACCGUAGAGAAGGCAGUGAGGCCCCUCCUCAAAUGGAAAGAAUCGAAGUCCAAAAUACAGAAAGCCCAACUGCUCCCACAAGACGACUUCAUCUACCUCAACCUUACUCUCAAGAAAAUCCCACAAAAGCCUCGUACCAACACUUUCAGAAUCCCUUUCCCUAACCCUAUUCACGACCCUUCCUCCUCCGAGCUCUGCCUCAUCAUCGACGACAGACCCAAUUCCAAACUCACUUCGGACGCCGCAAAAAAGAUGAUCAAAUCCCAAGACAUACCCAUCAGCAGAGUCAUUAAGCUGUCGAAGCUUAAAACUAACUACAAACCCUUUGAAUCAAAAAGAAAGCUUUGUGAUUCUCACGACCUUUUCUUGGUCGAUGGGAGGAUUGUUCAUUUGCUUCCUAAGCUUUUAGGGAAGCAAUUUUUCAAGAAAAAGAAGUUGCCUUUGCCAUUGGAUUUGACACACAAGAAUUGGAAGGAGCAAGUGGAGAGGGCUUGUGGGUCCGGGUUGUUUUAUUGAGGAGUGGGACUUGUUGUGUGAUGAGGGCUGGUAAGGUUUCAAUGGAGAGUGAGCAGAUUGUGGAGAAUGUGGUGGAAGUAAUAAAGGGUGUUGUUCAGGUUGUUCCCAAGAAAUGGAGUGGUGUGAGGAGUUUAAGGAUCAAGCUUUGCCUGAUAUCAAGCUCAAGAUUGAGGGGUUUAAGGAGAAACAAGCCGAAGAAGAAGUGAGUGAUGGUUUGGUUGAGGUUAAGGAGAGUGAAAAGAAAGCUGAUGAGAGGUCGGGGAAGAAGAAUAAAGGGAGGAUUCAUGAAGUUAGGUAUAUGGACUUUGACAAUGGUGUAGAUGAAUUGGAGAGUGAUGAUGAUGUUGGUAGAUAUUUUGGCAAUGAUGCAGAAGAGGACAACAGUGAUGAAGAUAUCAAGGAUGAUGGAGUUGAGAAAGCAAAGAAGAGGAAAACUGCUGAGAAGAAAGCCAAAAAGAUGAAAAAUGCUGAGAAACUUCUGAGUGAGUUGAAUGGUGAAAAGAAGGCCAAGAAGUUGAAAAGUGCUGAGAAACAGAAGAAGAGUAAGUUGUCUUUGAAAGAUGGAAAGAAGACUAGUGAGGUUGGGAAAAAACUGAAAGAUGGGCCGGCAAAGAGUAAGAUAAGAGCAUAAGAAUAAUAAUCAAUUAGGAGUAUUCAGCAGGGCAUCACCUAAGCUUCAGCUGAUUCCUUGUAUCUUCAAGUCUUAAGCAGGCAUUGCCCUUAUAGUCGACUUUUGGUAUUUAUAGUUGCUUUUUUUCUUAUCAAUUUUGAUCUUGAAGGAAUCCGUAGUUCUAAUACUGACAUGGCUCUUCUAUGUUUAUCAAGGGUAUGUUAUUUUAAUUUAAAGCUCUACUCUUUUUCACUUCUGAUGGCUUUUGUGUGCUCUAAUUGUCUUUCUUGAUGCGAGUAUCAUGUCAAUAUUGAAUUUUGAUAUUUAUAAUGACUUUCAAUUGCCUAUUCAGGGAUGAAGAGCUAUAAUCCAUUUUGUGAUUGUCUUUUGCAACUAGCUUGUUAGUAGUUUUACAACCUUUAGCGGUUGAGGCAUGUAGCAGACAGAGAGAUUGUCCCCUCUUCAGCAAAAGAAAGAGAUUCUACUCUAUUGUUGGAAGUAGACAUUUGAUCUGCCUGAUGAAAUGUUAAAUAACAUGGAAUUGAGGCAUAGUAAUUCUAUAUGGAGCAAACAUGGUAAUGCUAGAAAAUAUAGGACUUUGUAAAUAAUGCUACCAUGUUAUGAUUAACUGCAGAAAUAGGAUUAAAAAUGUCUGCUCAUGGUACUACCUUGGCAAGUUUAGCGAUGCUGGGUUUACUUUGCUAAAUGUAGGUAAAAGGUGGCCUAUGGAGUAUUGACAACAUUAGGGUUGAUAAGUUUGAUAAAUCGAUGAAAUAACGUCUGUAUCUAAACCAUUUAGUAGUUCCCAAAUAGUACACUAGCAGUAUACUAAAGACCUAGAAAUAUCAUUUUAGAUAUUGAUGUCUUUUUCUCUUUGUGGAUGCUUCAUUAACCCUUUCUCUCUGCUUCAAUCUUAAUUUGUGAUCAUGAUUCAGGUUCUCCUAUCAAGUACUUGAAGCACAAGAUCCAUGUUGGUGACAAGAAGUUGCAGGACAUGAACGUUGAGUUGUGAGGUGCAACAACGUAACUGAGUUCAAGUUAAAUCAUGCCUCGUGCUUGUAGAGUGCAUUCACAUAUUUGGGAACACUUGGUGGUAGAAGAAAAUGAAGAAGUUCGCAAAGUAGAGUGCAAGAACUAUGGUCGAGUCUUUAAUGUUCAUCGAAAUUGGGAGGGCACAUCUGGUUCAAGGAGGCAUAUCAAGAGUUGUCUUGUGCGUCCUCCAAGAAUUCGUAUUUAAGUUGGUUUGAGACAAUUUGGGUUAUUUUGAAUUUGAUAGACUUUAUUUAAGUUUAAUGUGUUAGUUUAUAAGACAGGUUAAUUUGAAGUAUUAUUAUGCAAUGAAAAUAUGAAAUGAAAGUAUUUGAAGUUUGAUCCUUA